UACAUAGGGUGCAAGCGUUGUCUGGAAUUAUUGGGCGUAAAGAGCUCGUAGGUGGUUCGUCACGUCGGAUGUGAAACUCUGGGGGCUUAACCCCCAGACCUGCAUUCGAUACGGGCGAGCUUGAGUAUGGUAGGGGAGUCUGGAAUUCCUGGUGUAGCGGUGGAAUGCGCAGAUAUCAGGAGGAACACCAAUGGCGAAGGCAGGACUCUGGGCCAUUACUGACACUGAGGAGCGAAAGCGUGGGGAGCGAACAGG
rnacentral:rRNA from 1 species